AGGUAAGCUACUAAGAGCGAAUGGUGGAUGCCUUGACUGGUAGAGGCGAUGAAGGACGUACUAGACUGCGAUAAGCUAGGUGGAGCUGUCAAGAAGCUUUGAUGCCUAGAUUUCCGAAUGGGGCAACCCAGUAUAUAGAGAUAUAUACUACCAUAAUGGAGCGAACGAGGGGAAUUGAAACAUCUUAGUACCCUCAGGAAAAGAAAUCAAACGAGAUUGCGUCAGUAGCGGCGAGCGAAAGCGUAAGAGGGCAAACCCAGUGCUUGCACUGGGGGUUGUAGGACUGCAAUGUGCAAGAGGAAAGGUUAGCAGAACACUCUGGAAAGUGUAGCCAUAGAGGGUGAUAGUCCCGUAUGCAAAAACCUAACCUUAGCUAGCAGUAUCCUGAGUAGGGCGGGACACGAGAAAUCCUGUCUGAAGCUGGGUAGACCACUAUCCAACCCUAAAUACUACUACCAGAUCGAUAGCGAACAAGUACCGUGAGGGAAAGGUGAAAAGAACGGCGGUGAGCCGAGUGAAAUAGAACCUGAAACCAUUUGCUUACAAUCAUUCAGAGCACUAUGUAGCAAUACAGUGUGAUGGACUGCCUUUUGCAUAAUGAGCCUGCGAGUUGUGGUGUCUGGCAAGGUUAAGCUAACGCGAAGCCGUAGCGAAAGCGAGUCUGAAUAGGGCGCUAAGUCAGAUGCUGCAGACCCGAAACGAAGUGAUCUAUCCAUGAGCAGGUUGAAGCUAGUGUAAGAACUAGUGGAGGACCGAACCCGCUAGCGUUGAAAAGCUAUGGGAUGACUUGUGGAUAGGGGUGAAAGGCCAAUCAAACUUCGUGAUAGCUGGUUCUCUCCGAAAUAUAUUUAGGUAUAGCGUUGUGUCGUAACUAAAGGGGGUAGAGCACUGAAUGGGCUAGGGCAUACACCAAUGUACCAAACCCUAUCAAACUCCGAAUACCUUUAGUGUAAUCACAGCAGUCAGGCGGCGAGUGAUAAAAUCCGUCGUCAAGAGGGAAACAACCCAGACUAACAGCUAAGGUCCCCAAAUCUUACUUAAGUGGAAAACGAUGUGAAGUUACUUAAACAACCAGGAGGUUGGCUUAGAAGCAGCCAUCCUUUAAAGAAAGCGUAAUAGCUCACUGGUCUAGUGAUUUUGCGCGGAAAAUAUAACGGGGCUAAAGUAAGUACCGAAGCUUUAGACUUGCAUACAACUUAGAUGAUUUAAAUUUAGAAUAUGAGAAGCUAAAUUUAUUUUUAUUUAUUUUUGCUUAUCUUUAUUCAUUUUUAUAGAGUAAAGAUAAAAACAAAAACUUCGUAAAAAUAAUAAAAUUUAGUAAAAAACAAUAAAAAUAUUCUUAGAUUAAAAGUUAAGUCGUUUAAGUUGUGUGCAAGUGGUAGGAGAGCGUUCUAUUUGCGUCGAAGGUAUACCGACAAGGAGUGCUGGAGCGAAUAGAAGUGAGCAUGCAGGCAUGAGUAGCGAUAAUUAAUGUGAGAAUCAUUAACGCCGUAAACCCAAGGUUUCCUACGCGAUGCUCGUCAUCGUAGGGUUAGUCGGGUCCUAAGUCGAGUCCGAAAGGGGUAGACGAUGGCAAAUUGGUUAAUAUUCCAAUACCAACAUUAGUGUGCGAUGGAAGGACGCUUAGGGCUAAGGGGGCUAGCGGAUGGAAGUGCUAGUCUAAGGUCGUAGGAGGUUAUACAGGCAAAUCCGUAUAACAAUACUCCGAGAACUGAAAGGCUUUUUGAAGUCUUCGGAUGGAUAGAAGAACCCCUGAUGCCGUCGAGCCAAGAAAAGUUUCUAAGUUUAGCUAAUGUUGCCCGUACCGUAAACCGACACAGGUGGGUGGGAUGAGUAUUCUAAGGCGCGUGGAAGAACUCUCUUUAAGGAACUCUGCAAAAUAGCACCGUAUCUUCGGUAUAAGGUGUGCCUCCCUUUGUACUAGAAUUCACUUCGAAAGCAAAGAAGGUUACAACAAAGAGUCCCUCCCGACUGUUUACCAAAAACACAGCACUCUGCUAACUCGUAAGAGGAUGUAUAGGGUGUGACGCCUGCCCGGUGCUCGAAGGUUAAUUGAUGGGGUUAGCAUUAGCGAAGCUCUUGAUCGAAGCCCGAGUAAACGGCGGCCGUAACUAUAACGGUCCUAAGGUAGCGAAAUUCCUUGUCGGUUAAAUACCGACC
rnacentral:rRNA from 1 species